rnacentral:rRNA from 1 species
GACGGGGGAUGCAAGUGUUAUCCCGGAAUAAUUGGGCGUAAAGCGUCUGUAGGUGGUUUACCAAGUCUGUUGUUAAAAAUCAGGGCUUAACCCUGAUCCGGCAACAGAAACUAGUAGGCUGGAGUACGGUAGGGGCAGAGGGAAUUCUGCGGUGGUAGUGGUGAAAUACGUAGAUAAUCGAGAAGAACACCAAUAGCGAAAGCACUCUGCUGGGCCGAAACUGACAUUGAGAGACGAAAGCUAGGGGAGCGAAAGGG